rnacentral:misc_RNA from 1 species
AAGUCGUAACAAGGUUUCCGUAGGUGAACCUGCGGAAGGAUCAUUAUCGAAUAGAUUGGGGCCCUGGGAGCGCCCCGCACCGACCCCUGCGGUCGCGAGCGGGCCUGCCUCGGCCCCACUUGUCCCAUAAAACACACCCCUGUGCACCUUCUCGGGUUUCUGUGGCGGGUGGAUGACGCACGCCGCAGCCCCGGACCUCUUACCACAAACACCUUUUUGAAUGAAUGUAUCUUUUUUUUAAAAAUGAAAAAAAAAACAACUUUCAACAACGGAUCUCUUGGCUCUC